AACGUCGUGAGACAGUUCGGUCCCUAUCUGUUGUGGGCGAAGGAGAUCUGAGGAGAGCUGUCCUUAGUACGAGAGGACCGGGAUGGACCUACCGCUGGUGCACCAGUUGUACUGCCAAGUGCAUAGCUGGGUAGCUAAGUAGGGAAAGGAUAAGCGCUGAAAGCAUCUAAGCACGAAACCUACUCCAAGAUGAGAUCUCCCAUUCGUGAGAAGUAAGACCCCUUAAAGACGAUAAGGUAGAUAGGCCGGAGAUGGAAGUGUAGCGAUACACGGAGUUGACCGGUACUAAUCGGUCGAGGACUUAAUCAG
rnacentral:rRNA from 1 species